rnacentral:rRNA from 1 species
CCAAUAGCGUAUAUUAAAGUUGCUGCAGUUAAAAAGCUCGUAGUUGAAUUUCGGGACCAGUAUGUCGGUCGUGCUUCGGUACGUACUGGCAUCAUUGGUUUCUCCUUUCUGAAGAACCGUGAUGUCAUUAAUUUGGUGUCGUGGGGAAUCAGGACUGUUACUUUGAAAAAAUUAGAGUGUUUAAAGCAGGCGCACGCUUGAAUACAUUAGCAUGGAAUAAUGAAAUAGGACGUUUGAUUCUAUUUUGUUGGUUUCUAGGAUCGACGUAAUGAUUAAUAGGGAUAGUUGGGGGCAUUAGUAUUCAAUUGUCAGAGGUGAAAUUCUUGGAUUUAUUGAAGACUAACUACUGCGAAAGCAUUUGCCAAGGAUGUUUUCAUUAAUCAAGAACGAAAGUUAGGGGAUCGAAGACGAUCAGAUACCGUCGUAGUCUUAACCAUAAACUAUGCCGACUAGGGAUCGGAUGAUGUUAAUUUUUUAAUGACUCAUUCGGCGCCUUACG